ACGGAGGGGGCUAGCGUUGUUCGGAAUUACUGGGCGUAAAGCGCACGUAGGCGGUUAUUUAAGUCAGGGGUGAAAGCCCGGAGCUCAACUCCGGAAUAGCCCUUGAGACUGGAUAGCUAGAAUCACGGAGAGGUGGGUGGAAUUCCGAGUGUAGAGGUGAAAUUCGUAGAUAUUCGGAAGAACACCAGUGGCGAAGGCGGCCCACUGGACGUGUAUUGACGCUGAGGUGCGAAAGCGUGGGGAGCAAACAG
rnacentral:rRNA from 1 species